UGCACGUGUAAAUUUGUACUUGUCCUGAUGG
rnacentral:piRNA from 1 species